GAAUUAACUUAAUCGUAGCCAUGAAAAACGAUAAGAAGGUGGCUUUGAGUCCUGUUUCGUAAACAAGAUCCAGAAAUGACUGAAGCAACCGAGCCAAUAGUAGGACCAAAAGAGGACCAAAAACGAGAGCCAGUGGCUCGUAGUUGGACAGGAAAGCAUUGGCAGAGGCUCUGAAUUCCACCAAAACCGACUUGACAGAUGAAUCCAUCGCGAAAGAGAUAGAAAUACGCCACUACAAGGGGAAGAAGAAGAAGAAGAACAGUGAAUUACAAGAUUGCGUCUUACAGAGAAACACUUGAGACAGAGUAGAUGGAGAUGGAGAUG
rnacentral:misc_RNA from 1 species